UAGAAGGUUUUCGUAGUCCUGGACUCAGGAUGAACGCUGGCGGCGUGCUUAACACAUGCAAGUCGAAUGUAGCAAUACAUGGCGGACGGGUGAGUAACGCGUGAGCAAUCUGCCCUUAUCUGGGGGAUAACAGUUGGAAACGACUGAUAAUACCGCAUAACAUCGAGAGAAGGCAUCUUCUUUCGAUCAAAGAUUUAUCGGAUAAGGAUGAGCUCGCGUCUGAUUAGCUUGUUGGUGAGGUAACGGCUCACCAAGGCGACGAUCAGUAGCCGACCUGAGAGGGUGAUCGGCCACAUUGGAACUGAGACACGGUCCAAACUCCUACGGGAGGCAGCAGUGGGGAAUAUUGGGCAAUGGAGGCAACUCUGACCCAGCAACGCCGCGUGAAUGAUGAAGGUCUUCGGAUUGUAAAGUUCUUUUCUAAGGGAAGAAGGAAGUGACGGUACCUUAGGAAUAAGCCUCGGCUAACUACGUG
rnacentral:rRNA from 1 species